UACGUAGGGGGCAAGCGUUGUCCGGAAUCAUUGGGCGUAAAGCGCGUGUAGGCGGCCAGGUAAGUCCGUUCUGAAAGCCCGGGGCUCAACCCCGGGAGGCGGAUGGAUACUGCUUGGCUCGAGUCCGGAAGGGGCGAGUGGAAUUCCCGGUGUAGCGGUGAAAUGCGCAGAUAUCGGGAGGAACACCAAUGGCGAAGGCAGCUCGCUGGGACGGUACUGACGCUGAGACGCGAAAGCGUGGGGAGCAAACAGG
rnacentral:rRNA from 1 species